GAUGAACGCUAGCUACAGGCUUAACACAUGCAAGUCGAGGGGAAACGGCAUUGAGUGCUUGCACUCUUUGGACGUCGACCGGCGCACGGGUGAGUAACGCGUAUCCAACCUUCCCAUUACUGUGGGAUAACCUGCCGAAAGGCAGACUAAUACCGCAUAGUCUUCGAUGACGGCAUCAGAUUUGAAGUAAAGAUUUAUCGGUAAUGGAUGGGGAUGCGUCUGAUUAGCUUGUUGGCGGGGUAACGGCCCACCAAGGCUACGAUCAGUAGGGGUUCUGAGAGGAAGGUCCCCCACAUUGGAACUGAGACACGGUCCAAACUCCUACGGGAGGCAGCAGUGAGGAAUAUUGGUCAAUGGACGGAAGUCUGAACCAGCCAAGUAGCGUGCAGGAUGACGGCCCUAUGGGUUGUAAACUGCUUUUGUAUGGGGAUAAAGUUAGGGACGUGUCCCUAUUUGCAGGUACCAUACGAAUAAGGACCGGCUAAUUCCGUGCCAGCAGCCGCGGUAAUACGGAAGGUCCAGGCGUUAUCCGGAUUUAUUGGGUUUAAAGGGAGCGUAGGCUGGAGAUUAAGUGUGUUGUGAAAUGUAGACGCUCAACGUCUGAAUUGCAGCGCAUACUGGUUUCCUUGAGUACGCACAACGUUGGCGGGAAUUCGUCGUGUAGCGGUGAAAUGCUUAGAUAUGACAAAAACUCCGAUUUGCGAAGGCCGCUGAGGGAAGCGCAACUGACGCUUAAGCUCGAAAGUGCGGGUAUCAAACAGGAUUAAUACCCUAGUAGUCCAAGGCGAAUUCACGGGGGGAGAGGGGGCUUUUCUGUUCCCCCCAACGUGGGGGAGGCCCCGGCGCGAACGUGGGGGGGUGGUGUGGAGGGGGUUUACGGGUGCGCCUUACCAAAAAAAAAGUUCCCAAGGCGAGGUGGGAGGUGAUAACUG
rnacentral:rRNA from 1 species